GUACACUCCUCCGGGAGGCAGCAGUGGGGAAUAUUGGACAAUGGGCGUAAGCCUGAUCCAGCCAUGCCGCGUGAGUGAUGAAGGCCCUAGGGUUGUAAAGCUCUUUCACCGGUGAAGAUAAUGACGGUAACCGGAGAAGAAGCCCCGGCUAACUUCGUGCCAGCAGCCGCGGUAAUACGAAGGGGGCUAGCGUUGUUCGGAUUUACUGGGCGUAAAGCGCACGUAGGCGGACUAUUAAGUCAGGGGUGAAAUCCCGGGGCUCAACCCCGGAACUGCCUUUGAUACUGGUAGUCUUGAGUUCGAGAGAGGUGAGUGGAAUUCCGAGUGUAGAGGUGAAAUUCGUAGAUAUUCGGAGGAACACCAGUGGCGAAGGCGGCUCACUGGCUCGAUACUGACGCUGAGGUGCGAAAGCGUGGGGAGCAAACAGGAUUAGAUACCCUAGUAGUCCCA
rnacentral:rRNA from 1 species